CUGCCUGGGUUUGGACUGCUGGACCACAAGCAAGUAUUGAAGGCGAGAUGUUUACGCGGAAGGUGGCAGGAUCCAGACGACCGAAGCCGGCGAUGGACCAAUGAACUCCAACCGUGGACAGCAGAUGAAUGGGACAGGUUCAUUUCCAACAGCUACAGCUUUUGAUCUUGUUGAUUUCUGAAGAAAAAGAGCAAGAAAACUGUCCCGAAACAACUACCAGAAAUAUUCAUCCUUUCCCAGCCAUUCUGCAAUCCUUAUUCUAGUCAAUAGCAGGGUCAUUAAAAUUCUCCAUGAUCACUGUGCUAGGUUCUUUAUGAACCUGCAUAAACAUUUCGCACAUUCACUGCCCUCCUUCUCCACCCUGAAGGUCUGUUACAAUCUCCUGUUAUCUUUUUCUAUCAUUUUUAUUUUCCCCCUUGAGUUCUCCUUAUUAGAGCAGCCAAGUCUGCUUAAUCAUUUCUUAUUUUAGACCUACUCCCUGAUUCAUACAUUUCUAUAACUCCUCCUGUCCUAUUGGCUCUUUUCUUUUUCAUAGCCUUUACUUUACAGCAGAGAAAAGUGGCAGGAUUCAUUAGGAAAAUCUGAAUAUGUAUCCAGCACUGCAGAGUGGUGUAUUUUCCAUGCAAUGGUUUCCAUCCAAUAACUACAAAUCCUAAAAAUUACAGCAGUGAAGAUAAUAAACCUAUUGUCACUCUUACAUCCCAAAUAUGUUUAAAGACAUCCAAUAAACUGAACACAACUUCUUUUAUGUUCUAAAAUAAACAUUGGACCAGAACAUGAGCCCCUUACCCGCACUGAAGAGCAGUU